UACGGAAAGUUUUUCUGGUAUUUUUAAAUUCUUUUUCUUGUUUCAGUCAUUUGAUGGUGGCCAUGCUGGAUCACCACUCUUUAGUCGAAGAAAUUGUCCCCUGGACAUAUUCCCUGUAAGCCUAGUGCUUGUUCUAUUAGUCUCUUCUGUUGAACAGCUAAAUUAUAGGGAUGCAACCGCCCCAACAUCAAGAAUUAAAUAACAAAUG